rnacentral:rRNA from 1 species
CCUACGGGUGGCAGCAGUGGGGAAUAUUGGGCAAUGGGCGCAAGCCUGACCCAGCAACGCCGCGUGAGUGAAGCAGGAUUUCGGUAUGUAAAGCUCUAUCAGCAGGGAAGAAAAUGACGGUACCUGAUUAAGAAGCCCCGGCUAACUACGUGCCAGCAGCCGCGGUAAUACGUAGGGGGCAAGCGUUAUCCGGAUUUAAUGGGUGUAAAGGGAGCGUAGACGGCAGCACAAGUCUGGAGUGAAAUGCCGGGGCUUAACCCCGGAACUGCUUUGGAAACUGUGCAGCUAGAGUGCAGGAGAGGUAAGUGGAAUGCCUAGUGUAGCGGUGAAAUGCGUAGAUAUUAGGAGGAACACCAGUGGCGAAGGCGGCUUACUGGACUGUAACUGACGUUGAGGCUCGAAAGCGUGGGGAGCAAACAGGAUUAGAUACCCGGGUAGUC